rnacentral:rRNA from 1 species
UGGGGAAUACUGGACAAUGGGGGGAACCCUGAUCCAGCCAUGCCGCGUGUGUGAAGAAGGCCUUAUGGUUGUAAAGCACUUUAAGCGAGGAGGAGGGUACUGGUAUUAAUACUACCAGGUACUGGACGUUACUCGCAGAAUAAGCACCGGCUAACUCUGUGCCAGCAGCCGCGGUAAUACAGAGGGUGCGAGCGUUAAUCGGAUUUACUGGGCGUAAAGCGUGCGUAGGCGGCUAAUUGAGUCGGAUGUGAAAUCCCCGAGCUUAACUUGGGAAUUGCAUUCGAUACUGGUUAGCUAGAGUGUGGGAGAGGAUGGUAGAAUUCCAGGUGUAGCGGUGAAAUGCGUAGAGAUCUGGAGGAAUACCGAUGGCGAAGGCAGCCAUCUGGCCUAACACUGACGCUGAGGUACGAAAGCAUGGGGAGCAAACAGG